GGACGAACGCUGGCGGCGUGCCUAACACAUGCAAGUCGAACGGGGAUUUGUUUCGGCAGAAUCCUAGUGGCGAACGGGUGAGCAACGCGUAGGCAACCUGCCCCCCGGAUUGGGACAACACCCCGGAAAGGGGUGCUAAUACCGGAUACGAAGAUAAUACCGCAUGGUGUUAUUUUUGAAAGAUGGCCUCUAUUUAUAAGCUAUCGCCGGGGGAUGGGCCUGCGUCCGAUUAGCUGGUUGGUGGGGUAACGGCCUACCAAGGCGACGAUCGGUAGCCGGUCUGAGAGGAUGAACGGCCACAUUGGGACUGAGACACGGCCCAGACUCCUACGGGAGGCAGCAGUGGGGAAUCUUCCGCAAUGGGCGAAAGCCUGACGGAGCAACGCCGCGUGGGUGAGGAAGUUCUUCGGAACGUAAAGCCCUGUUGUACAUGACGAACGUGCUUUCUAUCAACAACGGGAAGCAAUGACGGUAGUGUACGAGGAAGCCACGGCUAACUACGUGCCAGCCGCCGC
rnacentral:rRNA from 1 species